GUUGUGGGCUCGAUUUUUCUGUCGCCAGUACGGACGUCGCAACCCGUUUGGUGUCGGUCUUAGGAGACGUGUUUCACGUUCGUCGACGCGCUAUCUGCCUCGGUAGGUACGCGUUGCGAGUACGCGUUCGUGUUCCGGCCGACUUGCCAGACGGUAGAAUAAUGGUGGCCGUGACGGUCGUUCGCUUUCGGGCGAUUAGCGCUGUUCACGGUGCCGGUUUGCGACGAAUCUUCGGGCCUCUUUCCGACCCGUCUUGAAACACGGACCAAGGAGUCUAACGUGCGCGCGAGUCGCGGGGUGUCGAGCAGUGGAGGGUCGGGUCGCUUGCGGCUCGAUUCGACUGCUGCUCGUUACGACGCGAAACCCGUACCGUUCAUUCGGAAGGCGCAAUGAAAGUGAAAUGGGGAAGAUGGCGUUACCGAGUUCACGUUUCGCGACUUGUUCGCGACCGGUCGCCCGCAUUCCCAGGGCGUCCCAACGGCUCGACGGUGUUGCGGAUCGUCGUUCUUUCGGGAGCGGCGGUCGGACGUCGUCGGUCCGGGGCGCACCUAUAGCGUGCACGUUGGUACCCGAAAGAUGGUGAACUAUGCCU
rnacentral:rRNA from 1 species